rnacentral:rRNA from 1 species
AUUGAACGCUGGCGGCAGGCCUAACACAUGCAAGUCGAGCGAGCGGCGGACGUGUGAGUAAUGUCUGGGAAACUGCCUGCUGGAGGGGGGUAACUACUGGAAACGGUAGCUAAUACCGCAUACCCUUAGCUGUGCCCAUAUGGGAUUAGCUAGUAGGUGGGGUAACGGCGCACCUAGGCGACGAUCCCUAGCUGGUCUGAGAGGAUGACCAGCCACACUGGAAUUGAGACACGGUCCAGACUCCUACGGGAGGCAGCAGUGGGGAAUAUUGCACAAUGGGCGCAAGCCUGAUGCAGCCAUGCCGCGUGUGUGAAGAAGGCCUUCGGGUUGUAAAGCACUUUCAGCGGGGAGGCGUUACCCGCAGAAGAAGCACUGGCUAACUCCGUGCCAGCAGCCGCGGUAAUAC